CUGUAACUAAAGUCCCUGCAGACACACUCAGGACCUGGGGCCUCCCAGAUCACACACACACACAGAAGGUCCUGAUAUGCACCAGGAUGGGCCUGGGUCAUGCAGCAGCACUGCCUCCAUGGAGACUGCGAGGAGGAGGCCGCUGGCUGCCCUGGCACAGGCUCAUGAGCCUCCAAAGUUGAUUUGGUGCGGGGUCUGGAGCCAGCAUUGCCCUCAUUGCUGUGCUCCUCACUGUCACACCCUUUCACUUGUGCUGGGUUAUUGGGAUCCUAAGGCAAUCUGCGAUCCCAGAAUGUCUCUCAGAGGCUUACGGAAGGGAAGGGACCAGAGCUGGUCCAGAGACAGCCUGAGCACAGCCCCCCCAUUUCAUUGUCCCCUCCCCUUCUCUCUUAUGGGUCCUUCCAGGCACAGAUCCCCUUUGCCCUCUCUGAGGCCCAACCUCUCACCUCAUCCUCUCCCCCAAAAUCCAAACCCCAUUUCCUGAAUUGUCCUGAUAGUGACCAAGGAGAAAAAUAAGUGUAUCCCAUGGAGUCCAUCACCUGCCCUUUGCCCAUACCUGAGAACAGAGCAGGCUGGGAGGGGAAGGGGACCUCCAGAUACCUAGCCCAAGGGGUGGCCUGUGGAGCAGGGUCAGGGCGGCUCGUGGCAGUGCCACACGAUGGUGAGAGCACCACCCUUGAAGCCAGGCAGCCCUGACUGCGAAUCCUGGCUCCAAUACUUGGCAGCUAGAGGAUCCUGGGCAAGUCACUUAACUCCCCCCAGAGAGGUCUCUCUGUCAGUGAAACAAGGACAAUAAACAGUUUGUUAUUAGGAUAAGAUGGGAAUGCAGGAAUGGCACUUAGCACAGCACCUGCCAUGUAAUAAGAGCACUAAAACGGCAGCUGCUGACAUGGGCUUUUGCCUGCCACUAGGAGGCUCCAGCCCUCUGUAACUGAACCUUCUCUUACCCCUCAGUAGAGUGGGGACAACCCUGGGGUUGGGGGCCAGGAGUCUCCUCUGCAUUUGACCCUUAGCCUUUAAGGUCCUGGGUCCUUGCCUCCCAGGCUGACUCCUGGUGACUGCCCCACACAAGCCAGGCCAGCCCCCAGCCUGCCUGCUGUGUUGAACUCUGCAGUCACCAUCACGUCAUGAGCUCCUCAUCCUACUGCCCCUGCAGAGCUAUAACCAUUAUGGACACCAUCAAAUGCAUGCUGACUUAACUUGGUUGUCAUGGUGAUUUGAUUGCAACACUUGACUGAAUGUGAAGCAGGACCUCAAACCCUCAGAAGAUCCAAGGGGCUCACGACCUCAUGAGUGAGGUCCUGCCCUUUCCUCCUGCCAGAACACAUCCUGACUGAUGUCCUGGGGCCCCCUUUGGGGUGGCCAUCUAAUGGUCAGCCACAGCCUCAGCAUUCUCUGCCCAAAGUCCUAAGCCCCUUAGAACAAACACUAAGCCCCAGGACCCUGGCCUUGAGUGGCACUCCCGGGCAUAGAGCUGAGGGAAGCAUGCCUUACUCCAGAGGUCUCUUGGAAAAUUCACCGAUACAGAAGUAACAUCAAUCACUCCAUCCUGCUGUGGGGAGAGAGGGAGCCCUGCAGAGUUUUAGGGACCACCUUAAUGUCUGCCCAGGGGACUCAGGAAUAGAGCCAGGCAGGGAGCCCUAUCCAAGGGGCUUCAAGACAUGACCCUUCAGCUUGGGUGUCUACUCAGCAGGGACCUCACUGCAGAGGAUACAGGGCACUCUGACUCCCAAACAAUCGGUUUCCUCACAACACUCUGUACCCUGAUCUGCCAGGCACUCUAAGGGGAUAUUUUGUUAACAGUCUUUGAACAGGGUCCUAAAACUCACUAAGAGAUCUUCUCUCUCUCUCUCUCUACACACACACACACACACACACACACACACACGCACACACACACACAGGCACGCACUCUACAGUAUACAGGUGUACUCACCCUGCCUUAACUCUGAAAUGCAGCCCAUGGCUGCUGGGGGCCUGGGCAGCUCAAACAGCAGUCCAGAAACCCCCAUCCCGAGGAUUCUACACAAAUGCCAUUUCUUCACAGUAUUAAGGGAAAGUCCCUCCUUGCCCAUGGUUGAGGUUCUCCUCCUUGAAAAUGAGUGGGUUUUAUUCCUUAGUAUCCAAUGGUCUGUCAGGAGCUUUGGCUUCUGUUUUCAGCAGUGACCACUGAGCAGAACCCCCAGUGGCUGUGUCUGCCCCGGGCCCUUCCCUCAUCGAGGGAGGAAGUAUGGGGGGCACAGCUGCAGGGAAAGGUGGUACCUCCUCCGCAGCGGGGGCAUCUGCCCAGCCUUCUCCUCCAGGGCUCCGCACAGGAGGAGGGAAAAACACAGAAAGCAAAUUGAACAGGGAGCACAGCCAGCUGAGGCUCACGGGUCUCUCUGCAGUCACUCCCCUCAACACUGUGGCAGGGCCAGCAGGGGACCACAGGAGGGCCUGGAAGCAGAAGCCAUGGAGGUGGGGGGAGAGAUUCCUGGCAGAAGGGGAGGCAACUGUGAUUCCAAAUCAUAAAUAGCAAGGGAUGAAGGAGCCGUAUAUCCCCCUCUCCACCUGACCCUCAGCCAAGCAGAAGCCCAGUCGCCUGAACCUGGGCUGCCCUCGCUUGGUUAAGGCAGGUGUGGGGCUGGGGGACUGCAGUGGACUCAGUGUUUGUGUCUCCCGGAGAUUCCUAUGUUGAAACCUAAUCCCCAAUGUGAGAGUGUUAGGAGGUGGGGCGUUGGGAGGUGAGCAGGUCAUGGGGCACAGCCCUCAUAAAUGGGAUUAGUGCCCUUAGAAAAGAAGCCCCAGAGGGCUGCCUUGCCCCUUGCUCCAUCUGAGGACACAGCAAGAAGGCACCAUCUAUGAAUCAGCCAAACACAGCCCCCUCCAGACCUAAAUCUGCUCAUACCUUGAUCUUGGACUUCACAGCCUCCGGAACUAUGGGCAAAAUGAAGCUUCAAAGGACAACUAAUCCUAUGCCAAACGUGGACCAGAGUGAAAACCAGGGUGAUUUCCCAAUCACUGGGCUCUUCCUUUGCUGAAGGGUAGUUUCAGUGGAAGAUGCCCACAUCUGCUAACUCUGCUAACAGGCAACAUGCUCUUUCCUCUCCAAGGGGAGCAAAUGAAGAUGAUGGACAUCAGGAAGACACCAAGCAGGAUCUGACCCUCCGGUAGAAGGUGCUGCACCCAACCUCACCCCUGACCCCUGAUGAACAAGCCACAGGACCAGAGCACGGGGUUGUGCUCAAAGGGAGACCUUGACCAGUCUUGAACAUCAAUCAGGCAUCUGCUAUACACCAGGUGGGACUGUUAAGUGCUUUCAAACUCGCUCCCUGCCAAGAAUCCUGUUAUAACUCUGACAGAAUGGCAUUAUUGACUGGGCACGGUGGCUCACACCUAUAAUCCCAGCACUUUGAGAGGCCGAGGCAGGUGGAUCACUUGAGGUCAGGA